rnacentral:rRNA from 1 species
GCGGCAUGCUUUACACAUGCAAGUCGAGCGGCAGCGCGGGGGCAACCCUGGCGGCGAGCGGCGAACGGGUGAGUAAUGCAUCGGAACGUGUCCCGUAGUGGGGGAUAACCCGGCGAAAGCCGGGCUAAUACCGCAUAUGCUCUACGGAGGAAAGUGGGGGACUCGCAANAGCCUCACGCUAUGGGAGCGGCCGAUGUCCGAUUAGCUUGUUGGUGGGGUAAUGGCUUACCAAGGCGACGAUCGGUAACUGGUCUGAGAGGAUGAUCAGCCACACUGGGACUGAGACACGGCCCAGACUCCUACGGGAGGCAGCAGUGGGGAAUUUUGGACAAUGGGGGCAACCCUGAUCCAGCCAUGCCGCGUGCGGGAAGAAGGCCUUCGGGUUGUAAACCGCUUUUAGCUGGGAAGAAAAGGACGAGGCUAAUACCUNCGUUUUUUGACGGUACCGGCAGAAUAAGCACCGGCUAACUACGUGCCAGCAGCCGCGGUAAUACGUA